UACAGAGGGCUCAAGCGUUGUUCGGAUUCAUUGGGCGUAAAGGGUGCGUAGGCGGCGCGGUAAGUCGGGUGUGAAAUUUCGGAGCUUAACUCCGAAACUGCAUUCGAUACUGCCGUGCUUGAGGACUGGAGAGGAGACUGGAAUUUACGGUGUAGCAGUGAAAUGCGUAGAGAUCGUAAGGAAGACCAGUGGCGAAGGCGGGUCUCUGGACAGUUCCUGACACUGAGGCACGAAGGCCAGGGGAGCAAACGGG
rnacentral:rRNA from 1 species